rnacentral:pre_miRNA from 1 species
UAUGUACUCCCUCCGUUCAGAAUUACUUGUCUCAGAAAUGGAUGUAUCUAGAACUAAAAUACAUCUAGAUACAUCCAUUUCUGCGGCAAGUAAUUCCGAACGGAGGGAGUGCAUC